CCACCGCCUGCUUCCUCGAGACCACGCGAAUGACGAUCUCAGCGCCUGUCUGUUGCCCUUCCUCAACAACAACAACGACGCAGGGUCGACAGUGUACUGCAAGAUUUGUGUAGUUUAUUACUCAAACAGUUCUUAUUCUGAUUCAGCAGGUAGUCUUGUCAGAGGGUAAUGGUGAAGAUGACGAUUUUUUCAUUGUACGUACAAACGUGAUCUUGAAGAGAAUGGUUCAAUGGAGGAUGUCACGCUUGUUCUGAAUUUGGUAUUUACACUAUAUAUUUAUUAGCCAGGCUUUUUAUGUUUAUUUAUUAUUACUUCCAAAAUUCCUGUAGUUGAUACAUAUUGUUUUGCAUGUCUCCUACAAAAUCUUUGAUCUGUCAAUACCAAGCCCUAAACAUAUUUUAAACACUCUACACCCCUUGAAAUGCACUAACAACAGCCAAUUAUCUGGCUUGUGAAUAUAUGCGGGGACCAGGUGAUAAUUUAGGUGCUAUGAGGGGUGGACCGUCUAGGACAUUGAUGGUAUGGACAAAGAAUUUACCUUCUAAGAGCUUUUUAUUUUUUGAGAUAAACAUAUGUCUUGCUAUUACAACUAUUAUUUGUUGAAUGAAGCUAUUGGAGUUAUUUGUUACUAUAUCAGCUUGCCAUUUUGUACAUGAAACCUUCCUGUUAUUUUAUUUCUGUGUCUAACAUGUUUGAAUCUUUGCAGCAUGCCUUUUGUGCAACACCAUAUUUUUAGCCCUUUGCCAUUCCAUUGAUUCUAGAUAAACUCGCUUCCUCUCUUCCAUUAGCAAAGGUCAGCAGCUUAACAUACAUUA